GUUCUUGUUGUUCUUGAUGAUGUGGAUGAUUGGAAGCAGUUGGAAAUCUUUGUCAAUGGAUCUGAUUGGUUCGGUCCAGGAAGUAGGAUCAUCAUCACCACUCGCGAUAAACACUUGCUAGAAGCACAUGGAGUGAAGAAUAUAUAUCAGGUUUCAUAUCUGAAAAAUGAUCAAGCCCUUCAGCUGUUUAGUCAAUAUGCAUUCAAACAAAACAAUCCCAGAAUGGAGUACUUAGAGCUCUCAGAACGGUUUUCAUUUUAUGCUAAAGGUCUACCCUUGGCUCUGAAGGUGUUGGGUUCUUUUCUCAACGAUAAAAGCAUACUCGAGUGGCAAACUGUUCAAGAUAAGCUCACAAUAAUUCCUGACUUGAGAAUUCAUGAUGUGCUAAGAAUAAGCUUUGAUGACUUGGAUGAUACACAAAGGGAUGUAUUUCUUGAUAUUGCAUGC
rnacentral:misc_RNA from 1 species